rnacentral:rRNA from 1 species
CCUACGGGAGGCAGCAGUAGGGAAUCUUCGGCAAUGGGCGCAAGCCUGAACGAGCAAUGCCGCGUGAACGAGGAAGGUCUUCGGAUCGUAAAGUUCUGUUGUUGGGGAAAAAGAGCGGAUAGAGGAACUGUUCUCCGAUUGAUAUUACCCUUCGAGGAAGCCACGGCUAACUACGUGCCAGCAGCCGCGGUAAUACGUAGGUGGCGAGCGUUAUCCGGAUUGAUUGGGCGUAAGGCGUGCGUAGGCGGCCUGCUAAGUCUGGAGUGAAAGCCACCGGCUCAACCGGUACAG